CAGUUGGAAACGACUGCUAAUACCGCAUACGAUCUAAUCUCGGCAUCGAGGAUGGAUGAAAGGUGGCCUCUAUUUAUAAGCUAUCACUGAAGGAGGGGAUUGCGUCUGAUUAGCUAGUUGGAGGGGUAACGGCCCACCAAGGCAAUGAUCAGUAGCCGGUCUGAGAGGAUGAACGGCCACAUUGGGACUGAGACACGGCCCAGACUCCUACGGGAGGCAGCAUG
rnacentral:rRNA from 1 species